rnacentral:rRNA from 1 species
CAGCCGCCACGGUAAUGCGGAGGGGGCUAGCGUUGUUCGGAAUUACUGGGCGUAAAGCGCACGUAGGCGGCUUGGUAAGUUAGAGGUGAAAGCCUGGAGCUCAACUCCAGAAUUGCCUUUAAGACUGCCGAGCUAGCAGGUGAGAGAGGUAAGUGGAAUUCCGAGUGUAGAGGUGAAAUUCGUAGAUAUUCGGAAGAACACCAGUGGCGAAGGCGGCUUACUGGCUCAUACUGGACGCUGAGGUGCGAAAGCGGGGGGAGCAAACAGGAUUAGAGACCCCUGUAGUCCCUGUCUCUUAUAC